rnacentral:rRNA from 1 species
GAUCAUGGCUCAGAACGAACGCUGGCGGCAGGCCUAACACAUGCAAGUCGAACGCUCGUAGCAAUACGAGAGUGGCAGACGGGUGAGUAACGCGUGGGAACCUUCCCAGUGGUACGGAAUAGCUCAGGGAAACUUGAGGUAAUACCGUAUACGCCCCUAGGGGGAAAGAUUUAUCGCCAUUGGAUGGGCCCGCGUCGGAUUAGCUAGUUGGUGAGGUAACGGCUCACCAAGGCGACGAUCCGUAGCUGGUUUGAGAGAAUGACCAGCCACACUGGGACUGAGACACGGCCCAGACUCCUACGGGAGGCAGCAGUGGGGAAUCUUGGACAAUGGGCGAAAGCCUGAAUCCAGCCAUGCCGCGUGAGUGACGAAGGCCUUAGGGUUGUAAAGCUCUUUUGGCGGGGACGAUAAUGACGGUACCCGCAGAAUAAGUCCCGGCUAACUUCGUGCCAGCAGCCGC